rnacentral:lncRNA from 1 species
CUCAGACAUUUGACUCGGGCUCGGAAUUGACAAAGACUUGGAUUUGACUUCAGAAAUGGAUUUACUCUAUACUUUUUACUCUAUUGGAUCAUGGGCGACCAUGUGAUCUUCAAGAUCUCUGGGAACAUCAAAUACAACAUCGCAAACACAACAAACAUAUCCAACACCAGUUGGUUCUUUUGAUUCCAGUUCUUGACAUAAAGCACAUUGGUAGUUUCCAUCAUUGCCAUGGUAUGGUGUCUUGCCAAAUGUUGAACCAAUGUCAUCAAACCAGACGAUUGUUUAUUACAUUUGUUACAACCAUAUUUUCCAGUGUUUCUAUCCUCAACAAUAUGUUCUUGUAUUUCUUGCGGUCGAUUAAUCUCUGUGCCACAAGUGUGACACAACAAAUGCCCCUUCUUGUGGCAAUUAAGAGUACUUGAUUGGGAAAAUCGUUUCUUACAAAAAUCACAUUCAUAAGGUUUAUUUCCUGUGUGUGUUCUCUUAUGUUUCACCAAAUGAUUUGAUACUUUAAAUUUCUUUUUGCAAACGUCACAUUCAUAAGGUUUGUCUCCAGUGUGUGUUCGUUUAUGUGCAGUUAAACUACCUGAUUGGCCAAAUCUCUUCUUACAAACGUCACAUUCAUAAGGCUUGUCUCCAGUGUGUGUUCGUUUAUGUGCAGUUAAAGUACCUGAAUGUCUAAAUUUCUUCUUACAAACAUCACAUUCAUAAGGUUUGUCUCCAGUGUGUGUUCUUUGAUGUACAGCUAAAUGACCUGAUUCCCUAAAUUUCUUCUUACAAACAUCGCAUUCAUAAGGUUUGUCUCGAGUGUGUGUUCGUUUAUGUGCAGAUAAAUUACCUGAAUGGCUAAAUCUCUUCUUACAAACAUCACAUUCAUAAGGUUUGUCUCCACUGUGUGUUCUUUUGUGUAUAGCUAAAUUACCUGUUUGGCCAAAUUUCUUCUUGCAAACAUUACAUUCAUAAGGUUUGCCUUCACAGUGUGUAGUCUUGUGCCCCACUAAAAUGCUAGAUUGUGCAAAUCUCCUCUUACAAAUAUCAC